CAGGUUAGUGUUUAUGAGAUACAGACUUGAUGACAAUACUCCUUUAUGUACAAAUAAAUUUGCAAGGUUUCAAAAAGUCUUUCCAUGAGUAACUCUGGUUUCAAAGCUGCCAAAUAAUUGGAAGGGAUGGAUAUCUAUUUCAGCUUUUCCAAGACAGAUGUAUCACCAAUGCUUUCCUAGUACCUUUGUUCUCCGAAAACCUAAAGGGAAAGAUCAUUGCUAGAGACUUUAAGGUUACCUAAUGCAGCACACUUGUUAAAGGGAGCUUGACGUUAUUUGAGUCAAACAGUUAAAAUUCUGAACAUCAUCUCCAAGUACAGAUCAGUGCCAAAUAUGAUUAUUUGUUUAAAAAAAAAGGGUGAUUUAUAUUUUAUACAUACCACACUCACAGAACUAUAUGUACUUCUAUCAUUGCAGAGGAUGGGAGAAAGUAAACCAAACUAAUAUGUAUCACUGCUUCCUUUAAAAAAAGGCAUGGCAUCGACAGGGACUAAAAUACAAAAAUACAUACCAUAAGAUAGAAUCAGACUUCUAGUCUGACGGAAUACUAGAAUAGGUACCCUAACCUCCCACUAAAAAAUGCUAGACUAACAGCAGGCAAGAAUCCCAGGAGGACAAAGAACGGCUGAAAACUUUCCAGAAUUGUUGAAAGACACCAACCCCCUGCCCUGUCCAGGCAGCUCAAUGAAUUUCACAUAAUAUACAAGUAAAAUCCAACUGACUGGAAAAAAAAAAAAAAAA